UUACCUUUGCAAUGUUGAUUGUAAGAUACAAGUUUGAUAAAAAAACUAAUUGUUUAAUAAAAACAGUUGAUUUUUAGUUAAUUAAAUUAAAGUUUGUGUCUCUGAAUGGAAGUGAAGGGUAAAUCAAGAUUUGUAUAACUGUAUUUUUACCCUUUUUCAAUGAUCCAUUUUGUUUUCUCUUAUCCUUUUCAACUUUGUUUUUGUUUUGUUGAAAUCAAUUUACAUCGCCAUUGUACUGUUUAAUUAAUGUGCUAAUUUAAUUAAAAUAAAUUGAAUUGUGUCUCUAUUUAAUCUAUUCAAAUCAAAUGUUUAGCAAAUUAGUUGGUUGAGACAUCAAGCUAAUUUUAUUGGCGAAUCUAUGAAAUCAAUUAAAUAACGAUUCAUCUAUAUUUUUAUUGAACAUAUGACGGUAGCUCAUAAACCUAUGGUGAUAACUCAUAUGAAGGAUGAGCAAGAAGCUUCAUUCAGUACUCUUGAUUGCUAAUUAAAAGGCCAAUAGGUUACAUUUCAAACACGAGACUGGUCGCUGGAUUACUGCUUUCAAUGAGCCUUGGAAAAUUACAAUAACUCUUUAACAUCAAUUGAGGAUCAAUCCAUAUGAAAGAUGGCUUUAUAAUCAUCAUUAAAGGGCCAGGAAAACGGUCCAACAAGAGCAUUUCAAUUGAGCUUGUGCAUUCCGUUCAUUGAGGCUUAUCGGACAAUAGAAAUUACACCAAUUUACUGGAUCCUUUGUUUUGUGCUGUAAAGUAAUGCUUAUAAUUGGGAAAAAUAUCUGACAAAAUAUUCUCCAUUUCCUGAUUGUUUUUAAAUUGGUAAUCUUUGUUCAACAAGAAUCAAGGGAAAACUAUGGUGGCUUGGAGCACAUUUUAGACUGAAUAGGAUGAGAUUUUUCAACCUGACUAACGCUCUUUUAUUUUAACCAUUCUUCUGUGGCAAGCACGACAACUAUUCAGGAUCACAAUUGUCUAUCUUACAGGAUCAUUGUAACAUCAACUUACAAAAAGAUUUCUAUUCUCAACUUCAAGUUCCCUUGAUUAUCCAAGUCUCUUUCUCUCUUCAUGAAGACCUCCAAACCAUUUCUCAUUUGGUAUCGAUGGUUUAUCUCCACCUAAAUCAAUAGACAAUAAAUUCCUAGACAAUUUUAGGAUCCAGUUGAGAAUGGCUGUUAGCUGAGAAAAUUGACAAGACGAUUUUUCCCUAGACAGUCAAGAAAAUUACGAGACGUCAAGAAACCAGAAGUGGUAUGAUGAACCAAAAUAUAAAUAGAGAGAAUCAACAAUCAAGUUAAGUCGGACCAACCUUGAGUUUUUUUUCAUGUUAACUGGCCAUUAUAAAAAAAAUGAUUCGAGAGCCUCAACAUACUUAUCUUCUUUAUCCUCUUAUCGUCCCUGAAGAACUCAAUGAAUGGGCAAAAUGGUGAAAAAAAAGAUGCCCUCUACGUGCCAAUUCAAGAUUGAGACUGAAUUCACCUCAGGCUUAGAGAUGAAGGCUGACCAAGAAAAAGAAAUAAAGAACUUUAAAGAUCAUAAGCAAGUUUGAGGCCAAUAACACUGAGCUAGAGCGACCCGUUGAUGGACCACUUUUAUAUGAGAGACUAAAUUUAAACACCCGGUAACCUCAAACCUGUUUAAAUUGUUGAUUUCAAGCUUUAGUCAGCCAUAUUGGAAUAAGUUUAUGGAGAUGAACAUGCUAAAACAGUAAUCAUAAUAAUGAAAAUUUCAACAACAAAGCUAAUUCAACCAGUUAUUCAAUGUAUCAUCAGUUUUACCUGAAUAAGGAAACUUUUACCUUCAACUUGAAAAUCUGUUCAAAGUAAUCCAGUUCUGAUAGCUACUCUACCUUGCCAACUCAGUGAAACUUGUUCCUUUUUUGCUUUUGGCCUGACUAUUGUACUAUUUUUGACAUUCCGAGUCUGAACAUUGAUAUGGCAAAAAACGUUUACUCAAAUUAACGAUGACAACCUUAGCAAAUGCAAACCAGAUCUAAAAAUAUAUAUUGGAAAUGAUAGUCACACAAUAAGAUGGUGAAUAAAUGAUAAUUAUCAAUUUAAUCAGAGGUCAUGAACUGCAGAAUAAUCAAGGUGAAAAUGGAUGGUUGGUUAAGAGGCAGCAUUUCAAGUUGAUGUGAUUACAUAGAAAAGGACGGUUAAAGAAUCAAUUGAAAGUAAAAGUUAAAUUGAAUGGGCAACAACAAGCAAACCUAUCUAAUUGUAAAUGUACCCAACAUGAUUGCCACUGGCUCUAUGGAAAUAUAGUGAUAAAUUUUCAGCAUUUGGAAAAGAAAUGGGCAAAUUUUGAAGCAACAAUAUUAAGCUAAUUGAAAGAUAAUUGAUAAUUGAAUUGAAACAAGUUUCCUUUUCUAUCAGGAAUCAACAAUAGACUGAAAAACCUUGCCAUCAAUUGAAUAAGCCAUGGUUUUUUACGAUUUUUUAAUGGCAGACAAAAUGAAGAUAAGAUUUGCAAUAACAUCGUUUAACUGGUAAAAUUUAAUUCACUCACUAAUCGUUGAUCAAUUGGCUAGCAGUAAAAUUUCAGGGAAAGGUAAAGAAAAGCGUGGCUAAACAUUUUGAAACCUUGCGAUUUCAAUUAUGAAAAAAUAUUGGUUGAAAAAUUGUUAAUCAUAAAAACAGUCUCAUAUAAAUAUUAAUAAAGGAAACCAGUAAUGACAACAACAAGUAAUAAAGUACAAGAUUAAUAGAUAAAGACGGAAGUGUUAUGGUAGGAAUAACUUUGAUAAGUGUAAAUUCAAUUUAGGCGCUUUUUUGACAUAAAACAGUGCUGCUUAUUGUUGGUGUUAAACGAUGUCUUGUUGAUCCUAUCCUUUCAUCACUAUGUUUUGCUCCAUUGAUUAUGAAUCAUCAAAUGUCUUCUUUUUUGUCGUUUCUUCAACCAAAUGGAAAAGGUUCACUGUUUGAGUGUAUCUCGUCAUCAUCAUCAUCAUCAGUAUCACUAUCAUCGUUUUUCAUCGUCUUCUUCUUACAUUCUGUUUCUUGAAUCUUCAAGAAGAUACGAGGUUUGAAUUAUACGUAAAAAUUAACAUAAACACACUUAAAGAGGUUUCAAGAGAUGAUCGCUAUUUGAUAUUUGAGGCAAUCUAACGGGAAUAAAUUGGUUGUGUCUCAGUUGAUUAUAAUUUGAAAAUGCAAUGGAUAAUAACUGACUUUUGGUAACCUGAUACUUGUAUUAAAAACCAUCCUUUGGUUAAAUACAAUGUAAUGGCUAAUGACAUGGCCCAGGAAAAUGAUUAAAAGUACCAAAGGGCAUUUGAAACAAGCUGUUUUUGCGUAACUUCAUGGGUAAUUGGAAAUACAUUUCCCAACCUAUGCAUUGAACAGACGAAAGGAAGAAGCACCGAAUAUCAUUCUCAUUUAGUUAUCUAAUAAUGUAACUAUUUUGGAUCCAUCUAACAGGAUUGCUGAAUUUAACUUUCUCUUUUCAUUUACUCACUAUAUGACCGAAACUGUCAGAAGUCAUCAACAACCAUCAAGCUCAAAUCAAAAAGCGUGGCAAGCCAACAAGAAACGUUGCUGUGCAACAUGAACAGUAAAAAGAAUCAGUCGGAACCUUCAAAAUGAUGAUCACCAUUAACAGUAUCAACAUUAAACUCACCACCAUUACAAUUAUCCCAUAAAAAUGCCUUCAAUUUCAUUUCAACCAGUUUUUGUUACAAUUUGGUAAUAAAAGGUGUGAAAAUUUUCAUUACGAGGCAGUUACAAUCAAUAGAGUACAGUAUUUCAGUCCACAGGUCAAUCACAUUUAGAGAAGCUUGUUGAUAUUUUUUUCUUGAGAAAUGAAAAGAGCUAAAGGAGAAAAGUUGUUCACCAAUUGAAUCUGUUAUUCAAUGUCAUCAUUGUUUUGCCUCAAAUCCCAUGAGAACUUUUACUUUCCAACUUUCCAGAAUUGGUGAACUAUCGUAUUGUAUCCGUCAGAUGAGCUUAUGUUGAUGGUGAAUCAAGAUGAACCCUGUCAUUUGAAUUACAUUUUAAUAUCGAGUCAAACAUUUGGUAAAUUAAUAGACAAGGGAAAUCUAAUUCAUCUUCUUCUUGAUUAGUUAUACCAUUAGAAGUGAUCAAGACUCAACUACUUAGCAAACACGGAAGCUGUUGAAUGUUGGUAAAUUCAUGGUGAUGAAUCCAUCUUAUCUUGAAACCACCCUGGAAAAGGAACGUGUUAACUCAAGGAAUAUCAUCAGAGAAAGUAAAGUUAAUUAAGAGAAGAGAGGCAAAAAACGCUGAAAGAAAAUCAAGUUACAAGUUCGCUUAGAAAGUUUCAAUUAGUGCAAAUGUUGGACCAUGAGAAAGACUCAAUGAUGGACAGUUUAGGUAGAGAUGGGAAAAACAAGCAAGCAAAUUGUAAUGGAUUGGUCGACGUUAAAAGGUUGCAACGUGGUCAAGGGUGGUGUUUGUUUAACAUGAAAGCUCAAGCAAAGAAAAAAGAAGAAGAGAAAAGAAAGAAAGAAAAGAACAAGAAAAGCAAAAUAAAGUUAACCCAUCAGGGUUAGAAAGCAAAGAAUCAUGGCGACUAAUGAUUGCGUUGAUGGUGAAGAUGGCGAUACGAUGAGUAAACAAGUAUUAUAUAUAAAGAUGAUAGUGAGGGAGGUUGGGUUGUAAAGGGAAUGAUGAUAAACUGGUUUUCCUCUACCUUACAAGCUGACACAAGGAACCAGUUAAUGGGCUAUGGUUAUACUGGGUAUUCAAGUUAACCAUUUUUAUUUAUCUUUAUCAAAACCAACCCUGUUUUGAUUUCCUUUGCUGAACAGAUUACAUUUAAAAAUCAUAAUCUUUCAUCUCUCCUGAUGAUGGAUUCAGCAGAAAAGUUACUAUCUAUUCAGAGGAGAGAUGAAAUGAAAAAAUGUUUCAACAAAAAGCGCUUGUAUUGUAAUCAUUUGUUAUUUUCAUAAAUUAUUCUGGUUUUUUUUGUACACUUUCAUUGUAUAAAGAUGUACAUUUAUAUCACUUGAAUGGGAAAAGGUCAAUGAAAAGGUUAACCAUAGAUUAACAUUAUCUACUUCAAUAUCAGCUAUCACUUUCAACUAUUGAAUGGGAAGCUUUCAGUUGAUUGAGACGACCAAUUUACAAAGCUAAUUUAUUACAUAUGAAAUAAUAUUGUUGUACAAUUUAUAUAAUGGUUGGUUGAUUAUUUUCAUAGGCCUUGACAAAAAAAUUGAACAAUUAGAAACAAUUACGCUAACAUCAUUAUCAUCCUCUUAUGAAUCCAGUAGGAGCCAUUUUUUACCAACACACACUUUUUUCUGAUUACCAUUUUACAUUAAACUGUGACUUUGCCAAAUUAUUGCAA